AGCUUCGUGGUAUUGUCGUUUCUAGAGGGGGUCCCUCGGUUUCUCCCUUGUUAUUUGCCAACGACAACUUUUUCUUCUUUAGGGCCACUACGGAGGAGUGUCAUUCUGUUCGGUAGAUUCUUAAUAUUUAUGAGCAGGCGUCAGGGCAGACGAUCAACUAUCAAAAGUCAGGAGUUAUGUUUAGCUCCAAUACGAAGUUGCCGAAUAAGCAACAUGCAUGUUCUGUUAUGGGAGUGGAUGUGUCUAUUACUCAAGGAUUUUAUUUAGGCUUGCCAUCGUUGGUGGGGCGGAACAAGAAGCAGAUAUUUCAGUUUAUCAGAGAACGUCUCAGCAAACGUCUAUCUAGUUGGAAGAACAAGCUCUUAUCUCGAUCGGGGAAAGAAGUGCUUCUUGAUUCUGUUGAAGAGUGUUGACAGCUGCUUCGAGUUUGUGGCUGCAUCAAAACCUCCUCCUUUGAAAAGGGGUGACGACCUUGUUUCACACUGUUAUAGUAGUGGUCGAUCAGUAUGUGCAGGACUGGUCGAUGGCUUGUUUUGUUUACUGAAAAGUGCAGCAACUGGCAGAUUCGAUACAGCGGUCAAAUGUGCAUUGGAUUCGGCCGGGUCGGAAUGAGUUGAAAUGCAACAUGGAUGCUGCAUUCGAUAGUGCUCAAAACAAGUCCUCAUUGCAGUCGUUAUUCGAAAUCAUGAUGGUUCGUUUGUGCACGAAUUAUUCGGGACCCUUCCUGAUGAAGUAGAGUGCGGAUGGCGGAACUUCUUGCUAUCCGCGAUGCUCCUUUGUGACUUAAGGAAUUAAGAUUGGAUAAUAUAGUGAUGAAACCAGACUCUAAUGAUGUGAUAAUGGCUCUUACUAAAUCUUAUUUGAACAUUUUGACUUUGGUAUGAUUCUUGAUGAUUAUAAUUUAUUAAGUGCUUCUUCUCAAGGUUUGUCCU